UUUGUUUUUGUGAACGAUUUCAAUUUAAAGAGCACUUUAUUGUAUGUUCCUGGUGGGAAGCCAUAGGACACAAUGGAUCCAGGGUCAGACAUGGAGGCAUCAGGCCUGGAUUUGAAUUCAACCUCACUCCUCGCUGUCUGACAGUUCUGUUUCAAUGUCCUCACCUGUAACUGAAGGGUUGAGUUAGAUGGACUCUUGGCUCUCUGAUAGCUCUAAAUUAAUGAUCCUAUAAUCUUGGAUAAAUAUGAUUUAUCACACUCA